AUUCACGUACUUUUACGUUAUCAAUCUGCGUGUAAAACAAAGACAGAUAAAGCCGGGGUCCAGGAAAUUAAAGUGAAUCCGUUAAUUCAUGGACGAGCGGAUAGCCAGAGCCUUUGAAUAUAAAACUAUUAGUUAGUUUUAUAUUCAAAGACCAGAGCACACGGCAUUCGGCCCAGACACCAACCACAGAUCACAGAGGUUACUCUGUGAUCUGUGCACAGAUUCAUACCAAAUAAAAAACCCAACAAUACUCCAUGAUACAAUGAAUACAAGACUAGCACAGUUGCCAGUUGUGCAAUAAAGUAUAGCGUUAGCUGAAAAUGUAUCCUUGCAGAAAUAGUACAUUACGAUUCACGAGACGGAAGUCCAAACAAUUUCCCAAUGUUACUUUCCUAUUAUUUACGACGGAAUAUGCGGUUUGUGGUGCCGCGGAUGAUAUGUAAAUUUUAAUACAAAUGAAAUGACUGCA